rnacentral:lncRNA from 1 species
UGAUAUGUGGUAGAAAGUGUGCUGUGCUCUAUAAAUAUGUCAUGUGAUUAUCUUUUUGAAAAUCUUAUGUGAAUGACAAGAUAAUAUUUUCUUUCUUACAGAAGGAAGCUGAAAUUGGAAAGGCUACAUUUCUUACUCAAAUUUGAGGUGAAGCAACCAUGGUGCACAGAACAAAUGUUUAACCAUGACACUCGCUUGUACUAAGAGAGAUGUGAUAAGUCUGCUUGGGAGUGUAGUGUGGGCUCAGAAGCAACAGUGCAAAUGAUGAAUCCAUGCAAAAGGAUGAAUCUGUCUCCUUUGUUGGAAAAGAAAAGCAUCCCCAGGCCAGAACUGUGGUGAUAAGACCUUGAAACCUGUUGACCAGUACCUGAAAGCAAGCUUCUCCAAACAUAUUAAUGCAAUAUUCCAUGGCUGAUUUUCUGAUUACAGACAAACUAUUCUGUAUUGGCUGUUUCUGCUCCUCCAGCUGUAAGGAUUUUGUGUUCAAUACACUUCAGAAAUGGUAAGGAAGAAUAAUGGAUAAGAAGACAAACACUGAAGAGAUUACACCAGCAGCCAAGGAAAACAAUGGAAAAUGGAGUUUUCCCCAGAGAAAAAAAAUCAGGGUCUCAUAAAGAAAUAUAUAUCAUUAC